GCUGCAUCCUAUGAGUUUCCCUCCAGCACCCUCUCCAUCAGAUACAUGAGCUUGGGAGGUACGACGUGUUUUUGGUCGAUAAGAUUCCGUAAUUAUUCCCAUCAUAUUUGUCAUCAUAUUUGUCAGCACCAGGCCCAGUGUGCUCUUAAUCUGCCCUGCCAAUGGGCCGUAAAGGCCACCCUACAGUGUCCUCUAAAAAAUAUAUGUGCUCAUCCUUGAGGGUUAUCUUGUGCCAAUCACUAUUGUUAUUGGUGCUAUAAAUUAAAGGGAAACCCCAUGCACUAAAAAAAACAUUUGAAUUGUUUAUAGUGCCUGGAGUGCCCUGGAGCCAUCUCUCCAAUCAGUGUUAAACUAUUUUUCUAAUUGUUUAAUACUGAAUGAGGGCCUCUAGUUAUCCUCAGCCUGGCCCCCAAUUGAGUUAUAGCUAAGGCAGAGACUCGCCAUAUCAAUUCAUUUCAGCAGUAAGUAUCUGUAAUAGGCUGAAAGCAUUCAGCUGACACUCUGAGCCAGUCACUGCCACUCACUGCUGCUCGGGCUAAAGCCCAAGACACACAGGGGAGACAGACUGCUGGGGAUUCUUAUUUAGCGUUAAACCAUUUAAAAAAUCUGAUAGAAGGGUGGCGUUAUGGGACUCCAGACAUAUCACCUUUGUCAAUAUGUACCUGUGCUCAUUAUUCUGUGUGUGAAUUGACAGCCAAACUGCAAAAUGUAGAUAAAAAGUUCAUAAGUUUUCCAACUCUGCCUGAUUUAAGAAAAUAGCUGGAUUAUUUGGGCAGAGUAAUGGUUUUCUCUCCUUAGUGAAGGGCAGUUGUAAUAUAGACUUUAAUUAAGUGUUUGUUAUUGAAUAAGUAGUGUAAAGCCUUAAUCUAAAAAGAUAAUCCAGCCAUAAAUACUACAAUUUGGUUGUUAAUUCACCACAAUUCACUGUUAAGUGAAUUUUCACUCCAUCUAUUAGGCCCUCUAUUAUUU